UUUAUGCCAUAACAGUAAAGGACACAGUACAACCCGUGUAUUACAAUCACUGAAUCGAAUCACACUCGCUUAAAAUAAAUAGAAUAAAAAAAUCUCAAAGAGAAGGAAAUUUAUUACUUAUAUUAUCAUUAUAUUUUGUUCGACACAAUAGACGGUAAAUCCUAUGCAAGGGUCCAUCAAACAUGGUCACAAUUUUGUCACUGGGAUGUGAACUAAUAACCUCCGCGGUGCUAUUUCGUAAACUCCAAUACAAACUGACAUCUUGUGGUAGCUUAAGCUCAUUCUGGACACCAUUUUAUGGUUGCUGUGUGCAGGUUAACCACUUGCGAAAAGACUUUGAAGGUGGAUGAAUAGUAACAAGAAGUAAAAGAGCAUAAAAUUGCACCUUUCAAAAGUAUACCAGCAACUGAUUGUGAGAAGUUUUGGUCCCAUGGACUUUGUCGGAAUUCCCUUGAGACAAGGAUCUCGAAAAAGUCUACCCGAAAAGAAAAAGGUACGGUGGUGAAAAAUCUCACCUGAUCUUAUCAUAUGACACAUCUUGUGUCCGAAAUAUUUAUGACUUGGAUCGCACAAGCUUCGCACUGUCCUUGACUCCUCGGCACAUAGUGUACUAAAACCACGGUUUGUAUUUUAAUCCAACCUUGAGUGCGGAACUGAUGAGAGAUUGACUAAAACGUUAAAUCUUUGCAGACAAAGUUAAGUGUGCCGACAUUUUCGAGCCUGUGACUGAUUCUUCGUGACCAGCAUGGAAGGUGCGAGAUAGUACCACCACCGGUAUCGACGAUCGAAGCUUGAUCUCAGUGAAGCUGCAACGAGCAUCGCGGGCGUCUGUUGAGUAUAGAGGAGUUGUGGGAAUCCGGCAUCUGGUUACUGUGCCGCUGAAUUUUCCACGCAGCUUGGAUGCUAGACGGAUUCGUGGUCAGCAGUCGCUCGACCAAAUAUUCAAAGACGAAUAUCGUUCAUCCAUCUCUCCAGUCCUGGCACCAU
rnacentral:lncRNA from 1 species